rnacentral:rRNA from 1 species
CCUACGGGAGGCAGCAGUGGGGAAUUUUGGACAAUGGGCGCAAGCCUGAUCCAGCAAUGCCGCGUGCAGGAUGAAGGCCUUCGGGUUGUAAACUGCUUUUGUACGGAACGAAACGGCGAGCUCUAAUAAAGUUCGCUAAUGACGGUACCGUAAGAAUAAGCACCGGCUAACUACGUGCCAGCAGCCGCGGUAAUACGUAGGGUGCAAGCGUUAAUCGGAAUUACUGGGCGUAAAGCGUGCGCAGGCGGUGAUGUAAGACAGAUGUGAAAUCCCCGGGCUCAACCUGGGACCUGCAUUUGUGACUGCAUCGCUAGAGUACGGUAGAGGGGGGAUGGAAUUCCGCGUGUAGCAGUGAAAUGCGUAGAUAUGCGGAGGAACACCGAUGGCGAAGGCAAAUCCCCUGGACCUGUACUGACGCUCAUGCACGAAAGCGUGGGGAGCAAACAGGAUUAGAUACCCUGGUAGUCCACGCCCUAAACGAUAGUCAACUGGUUGUUGGGUCUUCACUGACUCAGUAACGAAGCUAAACGCGUGAAGUUGACCGCCUGGGGAGGUACGGCCGGCAAGGUUGAAAACGUACAAAUAGAAAUUAGACGG